UCAUAUUUUUGUAAAAAAAUCAUUAUUAUGCCAUAUUUUUAUAAAAAAUUAUUAUUAUGCCAUAUUUUUAAGUUUAAUUAUUAUAUUUUUGCAUAUAAAAGCUUAAAAAACCAUAUUUAUGAAAGUGGGCCAAACCCAAACAAACUAAUUAACUGAACCCUAUCAAACCCAAUCUUUCUACCAAAACCCUAGUUUACAUUUCUAAACCUAAACCUAUCUAGCCGUCUCUGCCCGACGCCUCCCCUCCCCUCUGUGCCGUGCCGUGCCACCACUCCACCAGCUCCACCCACCCACGGGCGUCGGGUCUUGGUCAGCUCCAUUUCCCCUCACCCAAAACCAGUCAGUCCCCGUCGGCCUUCCCUCACCAUCUUCGAAUCACCCAGGCCCAUCUCAGCCUCCCUCGCGCACGACCCUGAAGCCGGGUGACCUGAACCCAGACGCGACCCCAACUUAGGCCUCACCACCAUCUGACCACCAUAGGCCCACCUCACCUCGCCUCUUCCCACACCAAACCCAGACCAGACCAUGUGUGAUUGAUUUCUCCCUUCUGUUCUGAAAUAUGAACAAUAUUCGGAGGAGGAGCUCAGGCGCUUGGGUUGGGCUAUUGAACAGGCCAAAAACACCGUCGGCCUCACGUUUGAUUCCUCCAAAGGGUAACUACCUUCGCUAAAAUUAAUCUAUUCCUUUACUUUUUCUUUGACUUAAUUUACAGAAUUCAUUUAUGUUUAUUUCUUGUCCAUAAUUUGGUUAUGUAUACAUGUUAAUACAAGAACUUAGCUGAUGUAGUAAAGCUUUCUCUAUACCUUGGAUACGAAGUGGAUCUGCUGUUUGGUUUCUUGUUUCGGGUUGUUAAGGUGAUCUGCCUCUAUUCACUUUUUAUUUGAGUAUUGUCAGUGGUAGCAUAGGUGAUAUGGUGUGGUUUAUGCCUGAACAUUUCAUGGAAUUUUUCUCAUGAUGGUGGAUUUUUAUUUGCUCUUGUGUUGGGAAAUGUUUCAGUAUCCUCUAAUGCCACCAUACGGAACCCCAGUUCUUGUAUCAAAAAUGAGUUUUUCUAAGUAUUUUAUUCAUGCAUGGUUAGCAUUAUUUGUUUGAGUAUUAUUUAAUGUUGAUAGUUAAUUAUUUGUUUGAGUAUUAUUUAAUGUUGAUAGUUAAUCUAAUCAAUCCUAAAAUCUUAUAGAUGAUUGUAGGUUUCUUUCAUAGUUCUCUCUAUCUAUAUAGCAAUUAAUGGUUUUAUUUCUCUAUAUACUAUUUGAUUGCGUUACUAUUUUAAACUCACUAAAUUCAUAAACUAAAAACAUCUAAAAUAGUUUUACUCACAUAGCAUAAUAAAGUAAUUAAUAACGUAAUUUGUAUAGGAUUAAUACCUUGUGUUCUGUCUUUGAACUUGAAUUAAGAAAAAAAAAAGUUAGUAAAUCUAUAAUGUAUGUUAGUAAUUCUUUGAGAAAAAACUACCUUGUGUUUUGUUGAAAUUGAAGUUUUUUAGUGGAGGCUAGGCAGAAAGUUUCCGAGGCCAGGACUUCUCGUCAGACGGCGAUUGGUGAUCUUCACUAAAAAAAAAUGCAGCACAAAGCCACAAGAAGAAAAGGAGAAGGUUGUACGGCGGCAGGGGCUCGGAGUAUGGUGGUCGACGGCGGAAGGGGGCUCGACGGCGGGUUGAGGGGUCUCGGGUCUGGGCUCGACGGCGCAGGGGCUGGGCAUUUUCUCAGUCCAUUCCGUCGUCACUCAGGUAUGGAGACUCUCAGUCACUGCCCUCCAUCUCUCAAUCUCACUGCCCUCCCUCUCUCACUCCGGUCUCACUCUCUCAAUGUUUCAUAAUCUGUUAGGUAGAGCUCAAAUUGUUGUUUUGGAGUCUGAGUAACAACAACAACACACCUUAGUAAAACCUUGUCUGAGAGCAGCAGUAGCAGCUGGUUCUGCAGCAAGCCAUUAGUCCACUACUCUACCUCUGCUGCAAACAAAGCAUAUGAGAAAACUAACUUGAUCUGCACCUUAACAAGAACCAUUGGCUCCUUAACAAGAACAGAGAACUCCUUUCCUUAUGCUUGUACUUGUCAUCAUUUGGGACCUUUGGAGAUAAAAUCUGCAGGAUACAAACUUGUACUUUCUUUUCCUUUCAAACAUCUUAAGAUGAUGAUAAGUAGUAUUUUUUCAGCUGUUUUAAUUAUUACUAAUCUGAUUCGCUCUGUUACCCUUUAGCAAGUAAAUAAAGGUAAAUAUGA